UCUUAUUGGUGGGUUUAAGCCAUCCAAUCAGAGUGCUCUGACAGGUUAAUGUCACAGCACUCUGAUUGGUUGGCUUGAAAUCCACCAAUCAGAGUGCUUUGUGUCAUUUUACACAGCGUGGGAAAGUUCUUUGGAAUUUUCUCACGCUGUGUAAAAUGAAACAGAGCACUCUGAUUGGCUGGAUUUCAAGCUAACCAAUCAGAGUGCUAUGUGUCAUUUUACACAAUGUGGGAAAUUUCUUUGAAUUUCUCUGAACCUCGGGCCAAUCGCACAUCCCUGUGGCGACGACUUUGCAUGCGGAUGUCAUCCAUAGCAACUUUCGAUGCCAGUUUCUGCGCCUACCAUGGUGACCACGGGUAACGGGGAAUCAGGGUUCCAUUCCGUACAGGGACCAUGAGAAACGGCUACCACAUGGAAGGAAGGCAGCAGGCGCGCAAAUUACCCAUUCCCAACGCGGGAAGGUAGUGACGACAAAUAACAAUACAGGACUCUUUAGAGGCUCUGUAAUUGUAAUGAGGCCACUUGAAGUCCUUUAACUCUGAUCAAUUGGAGGGAAGUCUGGUGCAGAGCCACUGACCCGUGUGUGCUGCAGCAGAAACUCCACUA